rnacentral:rRNA from 1 species
GGGGGAGUCAUCAGUGAGAUACCACUCUUGGUAAGCUAGAGCGCUCAUUUUUAACCGUUAUCCGGUAAAAAGACAGUUUCAGGCGGGCAGUUUGACUGGGGCAGUCACCUCCCAAAAGGUAAUGGAGGUGUACAAAGGUUCUCUCAGGCUGGACGGAAAUCAGCCAUAGAGUGUAAAAGCAUAAGAGAGCUUGACUGCGAGACGGACAUGUCAAGCAGAGACGAAAGUCGGUUUUAGUGAUCCGACGGUGCUGAGUGGAAAGGCCGUCGCUCAACGGAUAAAAGUUACUCUAGGGAUAAC